rnacentral:misc_RNA from 1 species
GAAAUGCGAUAAGUAAUGUGAAUUGCAGAAUUCCGUGAAUCAUCGAAUCUUUGAACGCACAUUGCGCCCUCUGGCAUUCCGGGGGGCAUGCCUGUCCGAGCGUCAUUACGCACCCUCAAGCCCGGCUUGUGUGAUGGGCCCCGGCGUCUCGUUCGCGAGACGGGCCCGAAAGGCAGCGGCGGCGUCGACCCGAGAGCCCGAGCGUAUGGGGACUUCUGUCACACGUUCGCGGUGCGGACCGGCGCCUGCUUGACUUUUCUGAUUAUCCAGGUUGACCUCGGAUCAGGUAGGGAUACCCGCUGAACUUAAGC